rnacentral:rRNA from 1 species
AACGAACGCUGGCGGCAGGCUUAACACAUGCAAGUCGAACGAGAUCUUCGGAUCUAGUGGCAGACGGGUAAGGAACACGUGGGAACAUCCCUUUCAGUUCGGAAUAACGUUGGGAAACUCACGCUAAUACCGGAAACGUCCUUCGGGCGCAAGAUUUAUCGCUGAAAGAUUGGCCCGCGUCUGAUUAGCUAGUUGGUGAGGUAACGGCUCACCAACGCUACGAUCAGUAGCUGAUCUGAGAUGAUGAUCAGCCACAUUGGGACUGAGACACGGCCCAAACUCCUACGGGAGGCAGCAGUGGGGAAUAAUGGACAAUGGGCGCAAGCCUGAUCCAGCCAUGCCGCGUGAGUGAUGACGGCCUUCGGGUUGUAAAGCUCUUUUGUCCGGGAAGAUAAUGACUGUACCGGAAGAAUAAGCCCCGGCAAACUUCGUGCCAGCAGCCGCGGUAA